UCGCAGAGUCCUGCUUUUCAGAGUCGGCUCCGCCCCACCUGCGGUCAGAGCUCCGGUGACCGUUGGCCCGGCGGGUCCUCGCCCGUGGCUCUAAAGUGAGUGCAAUAGGAUAAAUUCCUCCACUCGGGAGAAAGCAGAGGCAAGAAGUUGACUAAACGAUGUUUAAGAAUAAUGUUACUGACCAUAAGCCUAAUGUGGAAACCAUAAUUAAAAACAUUAACACAAUUUCUUUGGAGUUAAAGAAGAUGAAAGAGCUCUCCCAGUUGCUGCUUUGUGACCUUACUCUACAUUUUAAUCAUCCUGUGAAGACGGAUGACUUAAAGGAACCAGAAGGAAAAACCCGCCUCUUUGAAGAGUCUGCAAUAUCAGAUGUGUCCCUUGCCUCUAAUAAUUUUUCUAUCUGAUUUCUUUUUGUUUGUUGUGAAUUUAUAACUGUAUUUAUUGUGGAAUUAACAUGUAUCUGAGAGAAUUGAGUUUACUAAUAUAUUUAAUAUGAUAAACAAAAUAAAAAUAGGAUGAGUUGUAAAUAACCAUUUAAUAUUAUUGAAACUUGUUUUAUUGUUUCAAAGAAUGGCUAAUUCAUUUCACUAGUGGCAAGAAUAUGACAUAGGAAAUUGACCAUGGGGGCAUUGCUUAUCCUUUAUGCUUGAAUUUAGCUCAGAUGGAAAGAGUUAACCAAAUUAUAAAUGGAUCGCAUGAGUUUGAAUCAGAUCUCUCCUUGUAACAAGUACCAAAAAACUCAAGCUAGCUGAAGCAUUUAUUGGGUCCUGUGACUUGGAAGUCCAUGGUUGAAAGAGAUGUCAGGGACUCUACUAAUUUAUCCUAUGUCUCUAACCUGGUUCUAUUUCUGUGCAUUGAUUUUAUCUUCUUCUGUUAUAGACUGGUUUCCUGCCUAUGGCAAGUUGAGGAGGGUAGAGACAUGGUAUCUGACAUGAUUCACUACCAAAUAGCUGCUUUGAAAUCUGUUACCUCCUUCAUUUUAGAAAUUUUAAAAUUUUAAAUUAAGAUAAUGUAACCUAAACCAAGACACAAGGUCAGCUCAGUGUCUGCUGUCCUCACCACUCAAGUCAGUGUUUAACACAGAUUAGGCACUAAAUAAAUGGUUGUUGACAUCCUGUUGCAUAAGCAUGUAAAUGAAUGCAGAUUUUUCAACUUUAGAACUCUCUAGCUCUGGACCCUAGAGACCUACCAGUUUGUAAAGAUGAAGCUUGAUGAAACAUUAUUAUCAUCAUUGGUUAAAAGUCUCCACAUACCUGUUAUCUUAGCAAGUUAUCAGUUUUAACCAGGUAACUUCUAAGCUCCCUUCUGAUGUUCUAUUAAUAAACUUAUGAAAAUGAAGGUGCAAGAUAUUUUUGGCCACUCAGAAAACUUGCAGAUUAACUAGAGAAGCCAAAAAUUUUUGUGGUUAAUAAAAUUUGUGGAAUAAUAACAGAGCCCCAAAGGGGAAAACUUGAAGAACAACAACCAAAUGCCUGGUUUUGUUGUGCUGAACACCUACUACUGUCUGCUAAGUAGGAUGAGUAAGCUGAAGGAAAGAGCUGUAUUGCUUCAAAGGAUUUAUAAAGCCUUUUUAGGAAUGACAAUGAGAAGGGCUUUAUGGUAGAGUUGUCAGGGGAUAAAAGAGAUAGAAGAAAGGCAUCUAAUAGGAAAGUCUGGUCACAUUUUUCUAUGUAUAUGCAUUGCUCUUUCAUCUUUGCUGGAAGACUUGGAUAAAAUCGACAUCACUUGGAAAUGCUUUUGGAGUUGUGGGAGUUGCAGGGGAGGUGGAAUGUGGGUGUUGGGAUGUGAUGAACUUACAUCCAGCUAUAUUUGACACCAAAGCCUUAUCUCUAAAUUUAAAAUGAUUACUUGUGGUAUUAACAGCUUAAAUUUGCUUUAAAACAAAAAUAUAAUAGGAUGGACUAAACAAAGUCAAUAGUUUUAAGAACACAAAAGUAAAGCAAAAGGUAAAUUAAUUUUAAUCCUAGGAAGUUAUCGCAUCAUGCAUUUAUCUUUUCAUAAAAAAGUACACAAAUAUGCCCCCAGCAAAAAAAAAGAAACAAAUAAGAAAGGAUGAACUAGUUUUAAGCCUCUUAAAUUAUUGCUGCCAAGAAAGUGAAAUUUGGAAAUUUUCAAAUCAUAUAUAUAAAACUGAUGAUUGCCUCUGACUAACAACAAAGGUUUAGCUAUUAAAAAAUCAGUUUUAUGUGAUAUCAAAAACUA